ensembl:lncRNA
UCAGAAUAUAGUUGGAUUUUGGUUUUUCUAUUUUACAACAUAAAAUCAACUCAAAAUGAAUUAAAGACAUAAGCAUAAGACCUGAAAUCUUUAAAAUAUUAUUAGAAAACAUAGGGGAAAUGUUUCUUAAUACUAGUCUUGGCAAAUAAUUUUUAGAUAUUACUGCAAAAGCACAAGCAACAAAAGCCAAAAUAGACAAGUGGGAUUACAUCAAACUAAAAAGCUUCUGCACAGGAAAGGAAAGGAAAUAAUAAACAGAAUAAAAAGACAAGCUACAAAAUGGGAGAAAAUAUUUGCAAACCACACAUCUGAAAAAGGAUUAAUAUCCAAAAUAUGUAAGAAACUCAAAUAACUCAUGAUCAAGAAAACAACCCAAUUAAUAUAUGGCCAAAUGACCUGAAUAGACAUUUCUCAAGAGAAAGCAUACAAAUGAAGAAAUGUUCAUCAUUGCUAAUUAUCAGAGAAAUAUAAAUUAAAGCCACAAUGAGAUAUCACUUCACAACUGUUACAUUGGCUAAUACUACAAAGACAAAGGAUAACAAGCAUUGAUAAAAAUGUGGAGAAAAGGGAAGCAUGUACAUUGUUGGUAGAAAUGUGUGAUGGUUAAUACUGUGUGUCAACUUGGUUGGACUGAAGGAUGCAACCUACUUUUCCUGGGUGUGUCUAUGAUGGUGUUGCCAAAGGAGAUUAACAUUUGAAUCAGUGUACUGGGAAAGGCAGACCACUCUCAAUCUGGGUGAGCACAAUCUAAUCAGCUGCCAGCACGGGUAGAAUAAAAGCAGAAGAAUGUGGAAGGACUGGCUAAGUCUUCUGGCCUUCAUCUUUCUCCCAAGCUGGAUGAUUCCUGCUCUCAAACAUCAGAUUCAAAGUUCUUCAGUUUUUGGACUCUUGGACUUAAACCAGUGAUUUGCCAGGGGCUCUUGGACCUUCAGCCACAGAAUGAAGGUUGCACUCUCAACUUCCCUACUUUUGAUGUUUUGGGACUCAUACUGGCUUCCUGGCUCCUCAGCUUGCAGAAGACCUAUUGUGGGACUUUACCUUGUGCUUGUGUGAGUAAAUACUCUUUAAUAAACUCCUCUUCAUCUAUCCUAUUAGUUCUGUCCCUUUAGAGAACCCUGACUAAUACAAAAUAUCAAUUAGUACAGUCAUUUUGACAAACAGUAUAGAGGUUCCUCAGAAAAUUAAAAAUAGAACUACCAUAUAAUCUAGCAAUUCCAGUUCUAGAUACAAAUCCAAAAGAUAUGAAAUUUGUAUGUUGAAGAAAUAUAUGCACUCUUAUAUUCCUUGAAGCAUUAUUCACAUAGCCAAAAUACAGAAUUAACCUAGGUUUCCACCAACGGAUGACUAGAUGAAGAAUAUAUAAUAUAUAUUCUGUAUAUGUGUGUGUAUAUAUAUUCUCUCUAUAUAUGUAUGUGUAUACAUACACAUACACACACACAGAGAGAGAGAGAGAGAAAAUGGAAUACUACUCAGCCUACAGAAAAAGGAAAUCAUAUAAUUUGCAACAACAUGUUUGGACCUGGAGACAUUAUGCUAAGUGAAAAAAAUCCAGGCACAGAAAGACAAAUAAUGCAUGGCCUCACUUAUUCAUGGAAUCCAACAAAGUCGAACCCACAGAAGCAGAGAGUAGAAGGGUAAUUGGCAAGCACCGCGAUGGGGUUUGAGGAAAGGAGGCAUGGGAAAUAGGGAAAUGUUGGUCAAAGGGUACAUGUUUUAAUCAGACAGAAAGAAGUUCAAGAGAUCUAUUAUGCAGCAUGAUUACUAGAGUUAAUAAUAUACGUACUCUUGAAAAUUGCUAAAAAUGUGGAUUUUAAAUGUUCCUACAAAAAAAAAGACAAAACAAAAUAAGUAUGUGAGGUGAUGCAUAUGUUAAUUAGCUUGAUUUAAUUAUUCCACAAUGUAUACAUAUAUCAAAAUGUCACAAUAUCACAUUGUAUACCAUAAAUAUAUAUAAUUUAUAUUUGUCCAUUUUAAAUAAAUAAAAAAGAAAUGAGAUAGCUUUUAACUAAGCUUAUAUAGUGGUAUAAUAUAAAAUUUUUUGUAGUAACAAAACUAUAGUAAUUUUGGCUUAUACUGAAAUGUGCAUUAAACAAGUGUUUGCAUAAAAUUUAAAUUCAAAUUACUGUUCACAGCCCACAGAAACCCACGAAAACAUGUGUGCCUUACUCUGGAUACAGAAACAAAUAGCUUGUACUCCUAAGGAAAAAGAAAAUUCCUGCCUUUUGAUGAGAAUUGUUUGAGUUUUAUACUUAUUUUAUGGGUAGCUUUGCUGACCUCUUCAUUCUACCAUAGCUGGAUAUUCCUCCCUUGCAUGUACUUUUGUUUCCUGGGGGCAGUGAGUCUUGGAAACAUUUGGGAAAUUCUUAUUCUGAGCUUGCCUGGCCACAGCCCAGGUUCCUUCCUGGACAUUGCAGCAUCAGGCUCUCUCCUCAGCUUUCUCUCUAUCUUCUGUCCCCUCAGCUCAUAAACCCCAGCUCAUAGAAGCUGACAUCACCUAGACUCCCAGACACCUGAUUGUAGAGACAAGAAAGGAGUUCUCAGGAUAUGUGCCAUAAUUUCAUACUGGUUUCUACAAGAACCAGGGUUGGAAUUAGAGCUGAUUCAUUAUUCAGUUAGCAUUGACAUUGUUGAUUAGAGACAUAUCCCUGUUGAAAAUAUUUCCCGGCAAAAAAUAGAAGUUCCCUUUGGCUCUGAAAUCUGCAAAGCCCUUUCAGAUGCCCCUGUGUCCUUGUGCCCUCGCUCCACAGCACUGCACAGGCAUGUGCUUACCGCACAAAAUGGCAGUCUCAAAGGGAGGAGUGCCCACCCACAUGAGGCUC